rnacentral:rRNA from 1 species
AUUGAACGCUGGCGGCAGGCCUAACACAUGCAAGUCGAACGAGUGGCGGACGGGCGAGUAAUGUCUGGGAAACUGCCUGAUGGAGGGGGAUAACUACUGGAAACGGUAGCUAAUACCGCAUACCAUCGGAUGUGCCCAGUUGGGAUUAGCUAGUGGGUGGGGUAACGGCUCACCUAGGCGACGAUCCCUAGCAGGUCUGAGAGGAUGACCAGCCACACUGGGACUGAGACACGGUCCAGACUCCUACGGGAGGCAGCAGUGGGGAAUAUUGCGCAAUGGGCGCAAGCCUGAUGCAGCCAUGCCGCGUGUAUGAAGAAGGCCUUCGGGUUGUAAAGCACUUUCAGCGGAGAGGCGUUACCCGCAGAAGAAGCACCGGCUAACUCCGUGCCAGCAGCCGCGGUAAUUC